UACGUAGGGUGCAAGCGUUAAUCGGAAUUACUGGGCGUAAAGCGUGCGCAGGCGGCUUUGCAAGACAGAUGUGAAAUCCCCGGGCUUAACCUGGGAACUGCAUUUGUGACUGCACGGCUAGAGCACGGCAGAGGGGGAUGGAAUUCCGCGUGUAGCAGUGAAAUGCGUAGAUAUGCGGAGGAACACCGAUGGCGAAGGCAAUCCCCUGGGCCUGUACUGACGCUCAUGCACGAAAGCGUGGGGAGCAAACAGG
rnacentral:rRNA from 1 species